UACGGAGGGUGCAAACGUUGCUCGGAAUCAUUGGGCGUAAAGCGCACGUAGGCGGCGCGUUAAGUCGGGUGUGAAAGCCCUGGGCUCAACCCAGGAAGUGCAUUCGAAACUGGCGCGCUUGAAUAUGGAAGAGGGUCGCGGAAUUCCCGGUGUAGAGGUGAAAUUCGUAGAUAUCGGGAGGAACACCAGUGGCGAAGGCGGUUCUCUGGGACGGUACUGACGCUGAGACGCGAAAGCGUGGGGAGCGAACAGG
rnacentral:rRNA from 1 species